rnacentral:rRNA from 1 species
CAACCUGCCCUUAGAGGGAGACAACCGGCCAAAGGCUGGCUAAUAUCCCGUAAGACCAUAGGAUCGCAUGAUCCAGAGGUUAAAGCUCCGCAAGGGGCGCUAGAGGAGGGGCCCAAGGCCUAUCAUGGUAGUUGGUGAGGUAACGGCUCACCAAGCCUUCGACGGGUAGCCGGCCUGAAAGGGUGAUCGGCCACACUGGCACUGAGACACGGGCCAG